rnacentral:rRNA from 1 species
GAAAGCGAUGCUAAUACCGGAUAACAUCUUUCGUACCCAGGUACUUGAGAUCAAAGGUGGCCUCUACAUGUAAGCUACUGUUUGGGGAUGAGCCCGCGUACCAUUAGCUUGUUGGUAGGGUAACGGCCUACCAAGGCUGCGAUGGUUAGCUGGUCUGAGAGGAUGAUCAGCCACACUGGAACUGACACACGGUCCAGACUCCUACGGGAGGCAGCAGUGAGGAAUUUUGCGCAAUGGGGGAAACCCUGACGCAGCAACGCCGCGUGAGUGAUGAAGGCUUUCGGGUCGUAAAGCUCUGUCAAGUGGGAAGAACCCACAUGGUGUUAAUAUCAUCAUGUGCUGACGGUACCACUGAAGGAAGCACCGGCUAACUCCGUGCCAGCAGCCGCGGUAAUACGGGGGGUGCAAGCGUUAUUCGGAAUUACUGGGCGUAAAGAGCGCGUAGGCGGUCUCUUAAGUCGGGUGUGAAAGCCCGGGGCUUAACCCCGGAAGUGCAUUCGAAACUAAGGGACUUGAGUAUGGGAGAGGGAAGUGGAAUUCCUGGUGUAGCGGUGAAAUGCGUAGAUAUCAGGAGGAACAUCGGUG